rnacentral:rRNA from 3 species
UUUCGUAGGUGACCUGCGGAAGGAUCAUUA